rnacentral:rRNA from 1 species
UACGUAGGGUGCGAGCGUUGUCCGGAAUUACUGGGCGUAAAGAGCUCGUAGGUGGUUUGUCGCGUUGUUCGUGAAAACUCACAGCUCAACUGUGGGCGUGCGGGCGAUACGGGCAGACUGGAGUACUGCAGGGGGAGACUGGAAUUCCUGGUGUAGCGGUGGAAUGCGCAGAUAUCAGGAGGAACACCGGUGGCGAAGGCGGGUCUCUGGGACGUGACUGACGCUGAGACGCGAAAGCGUGGGGGAGCAAACAGG